GUGCGGUCACAAAAACAAAGUUUUUGAGUGUUGGCUUUGCUAACAGUGCCUAAGAGGUGAAUAAAUCACUUUAGUGAUUGAUGAAGAAUUUUCAA
rnacentral:ncRNA from 1 species